rnacentral:sRNA from 2 species
GAGGACCCAAGAAGCAGAAGGAGAACAAGCCAGGAAAACCCCGAAAACGCAAGAAGCGUUGAGGAGGAAUUUGGUUCUGAGCGAGAUGAGUACCGGGAGAAGUCAGAGAGUGGGGGCAGUGAAUAUGGAACCGGACCGGGUCGGAAACGAAGAAGGAAGCACCGAGAAAAAAAG